ACGUGGUGGCGAUAUUGAGCUGUGUGUAGGUACACCCUGCAGCUUGCGCUUUUAACUGCUUGUGGUUGAGUGGCAGCAUGAGCGAGCUCUGCGUAUUCCAACCCGGCGUUAAGAAUCCUUCACUAGCUUUUCUUCCCGACGCUGCUUAUUUAUCUAUCGGUAGCAUGACGGGUAAUUGACGCCCUCGGAUGGCUUUGAGGUCGCCAUUUUUGGUUGGUGCCUUUGUCUUGGUGUCAGGACUGGGAUAUCAUCUGGGACACAUUACCCCACAGGUAUCCUGUUGGACCUCAACGAGGAAGUUGGCAACAGAGGAACCAGGAGAUGAGAGAGAUCGGUUGGUUGUGCCUGUGAACUGGCAAUUCAGUAGUAACAAUUGAGUGCUUACUGUUUGCCGGGAAUUGUGCUAAUCCGCUUACCUCCGUUACGCCAUUUAAUCAUUUAGAGGAGACCUGUGAGAGAUUAAGCAAAGUUCUAGCUAAUAAGUGCAGAGCCUCAGCUUGAACUCAGAACUCACUACUAAGCCAAAGCCUGUCCUGUAGCAUUCUCUAAUGCUUUCAGUUUUUCGGCUGUCAGAUGCUUGGUGAGAACUGCUGUUAUGUGGCUCACGCCUGUAAUCCCAGCACUUUGGGAGGCCGAGGAGGGUGGAUCACGAGGUCAAGAGUUCAAGACCAGUCUGGCCAAGAUGGUGAAACCCCGUCUCUACUAAAAAUACAAAAAAUUAGCCGGGCGUGGUGGCAUGCGCCUGUAAUCGCAGCUACUCCGGAGGCUGACGCAGAGAACUGCUUAAACCUGGAGGGGCGGAGGUUGCAGUGAGCCGAGAUCGCGCCACUGCACUCCAGCCUGGGCGACAGAGCGAGACUCUGUCUCAAAAAAAAAAAAAAGAGAACAGCUGUUAUUUUUUACUGUAUGCUGGAAUGUUAGGCAUGCAAGUAAGACCCAAUUCCAGCAUCUGUAAGGUUCACAGUAAGAUGGAGAAGAACCCACAAACACACCAAAAAUUGUAUAAAGAGCUGUGACAGGCCAGAGUGAGCCACAUAGAAAUUAGGAAGAGGUGCCCAGAUUGGUGCGGCAUCCUGCCCUGUCUUUAUAUCUUCCUAAUCCUCAUCCUACCACGUUCCCAGUCCACCCUCUACACUGCCACCCAAUCCAAAUUCUCAGAUUCAAGUCCUCAUGAACAUUGGGCUCUAAGCUGUAUUCCUAGCCUUAUUUCCUUGCCACUGCUCUCCAUUCUUUUUAGGGUCCGGCAUACCACUUUUUGUUGUUGAAUGCCUAUACAUCUUUUUUAAGACCCAGGUUGAAUGUAUAUACGUUCAUUUGACAAGUGUUUGAGUCUCAUUGUGUGACAAGCCUUUUGCUAUGUGCUGAGUACAUAACUGGUGGCUAAGACGGAUGAUCUCUGUCCUUAGAAAGUUUGCAACCUAGAGUGGGAAACAGACCAUUAGCAACUGCACAAAAGGGUGAUAGAAGAGAAUACUGGAAUAAGCCAGACUUAUCUAGCUGGCUGAUGGCCUGAGCCAUGGUCUUCAGUAAGGAAAACACUUACUCAAGGACCAAGAUGGCCAAGGUGGCUGGAGCUUUGGUAACCGGGAAAGACAAUGAGUUUGGAGAGGUAGGCAGGGGUUUGUUAUAGUCUGGACCUUUUAGCCUAGACUAUGAUGGGGACUUGAGAUUAUAUUCAGUAUGCAAUGGGAAGGUGUUGGAAGAACGGUGAAAUUAUGGCGAUUGUUAAAUGAUACAGGGUCUCACUCUGUCACCAGGGCUAGAGUGCAGUGGCACAAUCAUAGUUCACUACAGCCUCAAACUCCUGUGUUCAAGCGAUCCUCCUCCACCUCAGCUUCCCAAGUAGAUGAAUUUUCUUUUUUUUUUUUUUGAGACGGAGUCUCGCUGUUUCACCCAGGCCGGACUGCAGUGGAGCUAUCUCGGCUCACUGCAAGUUCCGCCUCCCAGGUUCAUGCCAUUCUCCUGCCUCAGCCUCCCAAGUAGCUGGGACUACAGGCGCCCGCCACCGC
rnacentral:lncRNA from 10 species